UCCAAUCGACGUUAUUCAUUCCAUAUGCAUUACCAACGUUGCGACAUUUACGUAUGCAUGUAUUAUAAUGUGUAAAUUACAUGUGGAAUGAAUAACGUCGAUUGGAUUGUAAUUGUUGAAAAUGUAACUUCUUAUAAUUCUUCCACCGUAGGGACAUUUUCAACAAAU